rnacentral:rRNA from 1 species
UACGUAGGGGGCUAGCGUUGUCCGGAAUCAUUGGGCGUAAAGCGCGUGUAGGCGGCCCGGUAAGUCCGCUGUGAAAGUCGGGGGCUCAACUCUCGGAUGCCGGUGGAUACUGUCGGGCUCGAGUACGGAAGAGGCGGGUGGAAUUCCUGGUGUAGCGGUGGAAUGCGCAGAUAUCAGGAAGAACACCCGUGGCGAAGGCGGCUCUCUGGGACGGUACUGACGCUGAGACGCGAAAGCGUGGGGAGCGAACAGG